rnacentral:rRNA from 1 species
AACACAUGCAAGUCGAACGGUUGUAGCAAUACAGCAGUGGCAGACGGGUGAGUAACACGUGGGAACCUUCCUAGGGGUACGGAACAACUCAGGGAAACUUGAGCUAAUACCGUAUACGUCCGUAAGGAGAAAGAUUCAUCGCCCCUAGACGGGCCCGCGUAGGAUUAGGUAGUUGGUGAGGUAACGGCUCACCAAGCCUACGAUCCUUAGCUGAUCUGAGAGGAUGAUCAGCCACACUGGGACUGAGACACGGCCCAGACUCCUACGGGAGGCAGCAGUGGGGAAUCUUGGACAAUGGGCGCAAGCCUGAUCCAGCCAUGCCGC